rnacentral:sRNA from 1 species
UAAUGGAAACAGAAAAGGAAGCCCCGCCGAAAACAGGACUUCCCACGCAAGCCGCUUCAAAGGCGGUGGCAUUAGUUAAAAAAUGAUA